UAUCGAUGUUCCACGGUGUGACUCCCUGUGUCGAUAUUUCCAGUAUUUGUGCCCACCGAUCGACACUAUCGUGCAGCGCCAAUCGGUCAUAAAUCGAAGCGCCCCCAUCCCUUUGGGCAGAUGAGGACAUUUUCUCCGGGUAAGUUUUCUAAUUUCUCCUUUUCUCAUUUCUCUCUGUUCUUUUCUCUUUUUUUUUAGCGUUCUGGACCUGACGAAGAGGGUGAUGCGCCUUCUCCUGCACCCCCUCCCCCUCCCGGUUGGCCCUCGCGACUUCUCCAUUCCCUUUGCCUGAAGACGAAAAAACUGCCCAACAUUUGGACGACACGUGCUUCGCCUCACCCCCCCUUUUCGGUUGGACCCCUCAUCCCUGUUGCAUAUUUUUACUGUAUUCAUCACACAUUUUUUUC